CGGGGCUCCAACAUAGCCUGGGGCUGUGCCUGGCACACAGAGGGUUUUAAAUAAAACAAAAUUUUCAUAUUUACUUCUGGUGCCUUCCUCCUUGCAUCUAUAUACAUGCAUAGGAAGAGGACAUCCUCUGAGGACAGUCCUCAGAAUCCCUUCUCUCCACUGAUCACAGCGGCCUAGGAAUUGGGAUGAACUUAUUGGCACAGCUGUUCUUGGGGCCAGGGACCCAGGAGUUAUGUAUGUACCGCCCUCUGCAAAGGAUGGAAGAGAUGACUUUUGGUCCACCUGUGGCAUGAUGGCCCUGGAGCUUGAAGAACACCAUCAAGUCCUCACGAUGAAUGGGGAGCCUUGGGGGCAACAUAGAAACUUGUCCUGUCCAUGGUGUGUUUGUCACUCAGAUUUUAUACAAUAUUCUGGAGUUUAUGUGUAGCCAGGAAAUCAGUCGAUUAGGCUGGGACUCCGGCUAGGAACCAUAACUGAAUCUCACCCAAAGAUGCAGCUCCUCAGUAAGCCCGAGGGCAUCCUGUUCUGCCAUCCAGGAGAGAUGCCACAGAGCGUGUGGACCACACAGAAGGCACCAUGCUUCCUGACAGUACAGCCAUGACUGGUUCUCACAGUCCUCAGCAGUGUCCCGAUGGCAUACUACUUGAUGUUGUGAAGAACAUCAGCUCCCCAGCCUUCUUCUUACCUUUUAUUUUGAGAAGGAGCCUCAUGAAGUUGAUCAUACUGGACUUGAAUUCUAUAGCCAAGAUUCCUCCUGCUUCAGCCUCCCGAGUAGCUGGGAUUACAGCCUGCACCACCACACCCAGAUGACUACAGGUUUGUGUCAGGUUGACAGAACCCAAGCGGCAGGGCACGGCUCUAAUCUAACACUGAUGUCCUGAGAAGAGGAAGCUGGAACACUGAAGCACCCAGGAGAAGCAAGACAUGAACCAGACGAGGGAAGAGGCUGUGGGAAAACCAACCCUGCCAACACCUUGACCCUGGAAUUCUAGCUUCAGAAACACAACGGAAGAAAUUCUGUGGCCCAAGCCAUGAACUGUGGUAUUUGGUUACGUCAGCCCAAGCAGAGUCAUAAUAAACAAGCCAGCCCUGCUCAAGACUGCAGGAUCUCAAAGCACUGUGGUGGAGAUGGGACACCCCCCCGCCCAACAAGCCACCAAGCAAGGAGGACACUACCUGACCCAUGGAGAUCCUGGGCUUCGAGAGUGAACAGUUGGGUAGGAGCUGGGGAAAUAGAAGAUGAACCAUGAGAAUGUCUUCCAAAACCUUGCUGAGCCCCAGGUGGCAAUGAAGGCACUCUGUGGCACUGGCCCAGGACAGCUCGUUUUUCACGAGUUUGUCCUCCUUGGGCAUCGUUUGGGUUAUUGUCACUAUGCUCUAUCACAGGUUGCCAUUUUAUUGUUAUUUCAUUGCCAUGUUCAUUCGUGAGAGGAGACAAUCUUCCCACUGUACCCAGAGGAGGCUGAGGCAGGGGAGGAAAAGUCACCCUCCUGGGGCCACACAGGAAUCCAGGGCUUAGCAGCAGUCCUCUGCUGGUAGUGUAACUGAGUCUAGCACAGCAGUAGGUGAGUGUACCCUGUGGUCCGACAGCUUGGAGUCCUUGGAGUACACGCCCACAAAUGGUACAGAUUUACAGGAACACAAAAUAAGCCAAACUCAUAAAUAUAAAUAUGUGUAUAUUCUCUGUCAUACGAAGAAUUUAGGUUCACAUUUCCGUGUGUAUGUGUGUGCAGUCAUGCACAUGUCUGUGAUACAUGUGUGUGGGGGCACUGGCAUCUCGAGGCCAGAGGUCAAUGUCUGAUGCCUUCUUCCACGAAGGCAUCUCCCUCUUACUUUUUGAGACAAGGUCCCUCAUUGACUCUGGAGCUCACUAAUUCAUCAAGAACAUAUGGCCAGUGAGCUCCAGGGAUGCCCUGUCUGUGCUGUUGUAAGAUUGCAAGAAUGUGAUCACAAGUUAAUAACUUCCCUUCACAGAAAAACACACCUGUACAAAAUAAAAUAAAACACUAUCAAGUUAAGGA